CGGGGAGAAAAUUUCUAUUUCCAAGUUUUUUUUUAAAAAAAAAUUCUAUUUCCAAUAGUUCAGAAGAAAGUAGGGAAGUUUGACAUUCAAGACCGUUCUUGUUUUUGCAAAUUGGGAAGUUUAUGUUCAUGCCAAAGACAAUGCCGGUUGCUAUGGGCUUUUACAGUUCUGUCUAAUGAGAAUUGUACUUUUUUUCAUGUGUUUGGUAAAAUGAUAAAAUAUAAUCCUUCUAUGCAUCAAUCUUAAACAUGGAUAAACAAUGGAAUUUAAUAGAGUAAUAUUAGUAAAUUAGGUUCUUGAAGAAUUCAUUCCACUGAAGUAGUUGGGUACUGAAGGAGCAAAAAGCCAGAAAUUAUAGUAGAUAAAAUCCGAUGACAUAUGCACAAAUAUGACGUCCAGGAAAUGACAGAACUAUACAAUUAUGCAGCCCAGAAAAAAGUAGGUUACCACAAACUUUGAAGGAAGCCUUGUAGAGCUGGUGUUACCUGAAAGUGCUACAACCAUACGGGCUAUGCCUAGAAAGAAGAGGUCAUCUUUUCAUACCGUUCCCUCUCUUAUGCAUAAAGAUCAAAUAUCUCUAUCUAUAGUAAUUGACCUGAGUGAUCUCAACUGUAGAUAUCAUCCUUGAAAUGCUCAAAGGUCCUGAGCAGGAAAUGCCUAUGAGUACUACCAUUACUUGUCUUCUCAUGGUGCUAGGUUCAGAGAAUCUGAAAAGCGAGCAACAUUAUGAGAUAAUUUUAGAGAAUACUGAAGCAAAGGCCAGUGCCAGUUCCAGAUGAGGACGCACUGAGAAAUAGUGACAUUUCACUAGAUGACAAGUUGUUACCAUUUGUUUUGUAUCGUUUAUCUUCACUAUCUCAACAGAUCAUCAGUUCUUUGAAAAGAAUCAAUAUCAACAUUCAAAGGCGGAGUUUCUUCGUACUCAGCCACCCGACACACAGGUGACAGAAGAACAAAUGGAGGAAAGGUGGCUUGAGAGUGUUGGUAGUCCCAC